ensembl:snoRNA SNORD16 Small nucleolar RNA SNORD16
UGCAAUGAUGGUGUAAUUUGCGUCUGACCCAGUGAACAGUGACAGUUGCCUGCUGUCAUAUGCUGUCACAGGGUUUUGAUGAGAUUUAAUUCUGAGCA